ACGGGGGGUGCAAGCGUUGUUCGGAAUUAUUGGGCGUAAAGCGCGCGUAGGCGGCUUAACAAGUCAGAUGUGAAAUCCCUGGGCUUAACCCAGGAAGUGCAUUUGAAACUGUUUGGCUUGAGUAAGGGAGAGGAAAGUGGAAUUCCUGGUGUAGAGGUGAAAUGCGUAGAUAUCAGGAAGAACACCGAUGGCGAAGGCAGCUUGCUGGGCCUAUACUGACGCUGAGACGCGAAAGCGUGGGUAUCAAACAG
rnacentral:rRNA from 1 species